AGUACGAAAGGACCAAAUAUUUAAUAUAUUAAUAUUUAAAAAUUUUGAAUAUUAUU
rnacentral:rRNA from 1 species